rnacentral:misc_RNA from 1 species
UACGGAGGGUGCAAGCGUUAAUCGGAAUUACUGGGCGUAAAGCGCGCGUAGGCGGCUAGAUCAGUCGGGUGUGAAAGCCCUGGGCUUAACCUGGGAACUGCAUUCGAUACUGUCUGGCUAGAGUACAGUAGAGGGGGGUGGAAUUCCACGUGUAGCGGUGAAAUGCGUAGAUAUGUGGAGGAACACCAGUGGCGAAGGCGGCCCCCUGGACUGAUACUGACGCUGAGGUGCGAAAGCGUGGGUAGCAAACAGG